GAGCCUUUGCCCAUGUCUUUGGGGAUCAAGUUUUGUUCAUUUGAAAUGACCCAUUUCUGGCUUCUCUUUGGCUUUUGGUCGUUUCAGUGAACUCUUUGCUUUUCCCUUCUUUUUCUUUUCUUUUUCUCAAGCUGUUCGUGUGAGGAUGUUGACAAUGCACUCAUCAAGGGGGAGAUUGCGAACACAAGGUCGAGAAGUACCCUUGUGGUACGUUUUGUGAUGAGUGAUUGUCAACGUGAUCCACGAAUAGGCUGAGUUGGUGACUAACAUUAUCAUGGCGAAAGCUAUAUGUGCGACAUGUCUCUUGGCUUGUGGUGUUCAGCUGUG
rnacentral:lncRNA from 1 species